rnacentral:rRNA from 1 species
UACGUAGGGUCCGAGCGUUGUCCGGAAUUAUUGGGCGUAAAGGGCUCGUAGGCGGUUCGUCACGUCGGGAGUGAAAACUCGGAGCUUAACUCCGAGCCUGCUUCCGAUACGGGCAGACUAGAGGUAGGCAGGGGAGAGCGGAACUCCUGGUGUAGCGGUGGAAUGCGCAGAUAUCAGGAAGAACACCGGUGGCGAAGGCGGCUCUCUGGGCCUUACCUGACGCUGAGGAGCGAAAGCAUGGGGAGCGAACAGG